GCUGAACUGAGUCUGUGAGCAUAUGCUUUUCGCGCGAAUUAAAUCGGCUAUCAUCAGUUUCACUGGGUAACAAUAUACGGUAGGCAUGCAUGCUCAAUCAAAAACAAUUUGGUUGUUUGAAAUUUUUAUCUGUAAAUUUUAAUGACACACAAUUGGAAAAUUAAAAAGCAAAAAUUUUUCUGUUUGCAAAGCAAAAAUUUCCCGCCAGAUAAACGACAUCCGGGACACCGGUACAGAAACGGAAAAUAUGGACCACGGUCCGGAUAUGGGUUUUU